rnacentral:lncRNA from 1 species
AUAUAUGGGAUUGACAUAGUAUCCAAUUCCAUUUAUUUGCUAUAUCUAUUUGUUCUGAUCAAUCUAAAUUACUCUUAUGUCUUAUAGUUUGAAUUACUAUAUUUUUGAUUUCCAAUCUGAAUCUCGGUAUCUAUUGAAAGAAUCAAAUCAAUGAAGGAAAAGCGAUAGAUAUAGGCAGAUUCAAAAAAUCACGUAGUAAUUUCCAAUCUGAAUCUUGGUAUCUAUUGAAAGAAUCAAACCAAUGCGUCUCAGGAGCCUCCCACUGUGAAUUCAUCUCCAUCUUUCCCAUUCUACCAAUAGAUCUACCGCACCACCUCAUACCCUCCCCAAGCUCCACCACCAGAACAAAACCCUCAUGUACUAAUCUUCCCUGUCUUUGUGGCACCUCCACCUGCCACUGUGCAAAAGAUCUUCCAGUGAGCCACAGUUUCAAGCUCACGAUAGUCACUACUAUCCCCCUGAGCCUACCUUUAAAGUUCGUGAGCCAUAUUCUUACACCCCUCACUUUGAGCUCCCGGUGGAUAUUGAAAAGCAGCUUAGAAACCCGGAGCAAGAAGAGAUGAUUCAAAAAUUAAAAAGCCUGGAGCUGUCCUUCAGGAACAUAAAAGGGUUGGGUGGCCAAGUCAGUGUGGACUAUAAAGAUUUUUGUCUAUUCUCGGAUGUUCAGUUACCCACAGGGCUCAAAAUGCCAAAAUUUGAUAUGUAUGAUGGGCACGGUGUCCCAGUAGCCCACCUGAGGGGAUUUUGCAAUAAAAUGAGAGGGGUCGGUGGGAAAUAUGAAUUAAUGAUGGUGUACUUCAGCCAGAGUUUCAGUGGGUGUGCUUUGAAGUGGUAUACACGACAGGACCACGACAGGUGGUAUACUUGAGAUGACUUGGCACAAGCAUUCGCCUGCCAUUUUCAGUACAAUCUAGAAAUUGUUCCAGAUUGCCUGUCAUUGGUAAAACUUGAGUAAAAGCCCGAGAGAGUUUUAGGGAGUAUAUGUUUCACUGGAGAGAACAGGCUGUGAGGGUCGAUCCUCAAAUGAUGGAAAGCGAAAUUGUGGAUUAUUAUUACAGGCUUUGGAGCCAAAUUACUUUGCUUACCUGGUGAUGGCAAUUGUUAAAUUUUUUAAAGAAGUGGUGAAGAUGGGAGCUAUGGUCGAGGAAGGAUUGAAAUUUAAUAAAAUCAUGAGCUAUUGAGCUAUUAAAGUAACCACUCAGUCCAUCCAAAGCGGCACCGAGGGUGUACUGGGAAAGAAGAAGAAAGAAGAGGUUGCAGCAGUCGAAACCGAAGCUUGGUCCAGAUCUAGAGGCCCUUCACCCUACUAUCAACCCACUCCCCACCAUCCAAGUCACCCAUAAACCUAAUAUAGUCCUCCAAAACACUACUACCCAUCGCCAGACCCAUAUUUUUGCCAUUCACCAUGCUCAAACUUAUACUCAGCCUUCGGCUCAUGUGCAAUGGCGUGCACCGGCUCCUAAAAAUACAUAUCCACCCCCGAGGGCCUACAAAAAUCCUCCAGGAUCUUGUUUCCGUGGGAAUCAAGCCUUUCGGAAUGAAAGGGUACAAAAGUAGAAAACAUUCACUCUACUGGGGGAGUCAUAUACCAGUCUUUCCCACAAGUGAGGCAGCUAAGCCUAUUGAACCCGAUCGAGCUUAAAGUUAUAAAUCCCUUUCCUAGAAAUCUGGACCAGUUAGUGAGUUGUGAAUAUUGUUCGGGGAGCCAAGGCAUGACACUGAAAAAUGCUGGAAACUGAAAAUGGUUGUGCAAGAACUAAUUGACAAUCAUCGGAUUGAGGUUUAGGGGUGGAAAGUAAGCCAAUUGAAAGGGGUGGAAAGUAAGCCAGAUGUGGUAAUCGAGAAAGGGUCAUCAAGCAGUGUUACCGUAAAACCCGAGCCAGUCAAAGUGGUGGUGCAAGGGGUAGCAAACAAACCUAUGAUGGUUGUGAAAGGAGCUCGCACAGAUCUUGUUAUCGUAAAGCGAGCAACUCAGUUGCCAUUGACCAACAACAAAACUAUUCCUUGGAGUUAUGAACAAGUGGGAGGACAUAUAAGGGAAUGUAAGUAUGAAUUGUUGUUCGCCGAGGUAAACAUGGUUGAAGCAGAGAAGGGGUCAAGCAGGGUAAAAGUGUAGUUCGUCUGACCAUGGGUAAAAGUCAAUGACUGGAAGUCUUAGUAGUGGGUCUUGUUUUCCUUAAUCUAUGGAUUAUUCAAGGGUCUACUGUCCAUAUACUAUGUUUCGUCCGUUUUGAUGAGUUAAAACCUUGUUAUUUUUUCCUUCAAUGAAAUGCAAUUGUCUUUCUUUCGUCAUUCUUAAUUCUAUUUCAGUUUGCUUUUCUCAUAUGUACAAUUCAUUUUAUGCUGGUAUCAAUAACAUGAUAUGCCUGAGGAAUCCUCAGCCUAGUCUUGAAAGAAGGUCUUACUCUGAAGUAAUAAUACAAGAAAUUGAAAGUGAUAAUGAGUUCGAACAUGAUCAUGGUUUCACCCACCUUGAACAUUUGAGUUUGAUUAAUGAAAAGAUGUUAGUAUCAGUGAGUCAUGGCCAAUUGCACCAACAAAAUUGCAAGAGCGUGCAACAGGAAAGUGCAUCUGAGGAAGUUUUGAAGUUGGACAGUAGUGCUGAGACGUAUCUUGCCUCAUCAGGCUGAAGCAAAAGGAAAAUUUUCCCCAAAUUGGCAGGGGCCAUUUGUUGAAACUAGAGUAUUGUCUAGUUGUGCAUUAUAUCUAACAGAUGUGGAAGGAAAAUAUGUGGAAAUGGACAUCAACUCUGAUGUAGUCAAGAGGAACUAUGUAUGAUUUCUUUAUUUUGAUUGUACUUUUUUUGUAUUUGGCAUAUUUUGAAGAUUGAAAUGAAGAAGGCGUUUUGUUCUGCUAUCCGAAACACUUUAUCCCAUUUUACCCCUUUUUUGAGCCGGUUUUAUUUUUUUCAUACCCCGCUUUCGGAAUCAAUGGCAUAAUUAAGAAAUGCAAGUGCCAAAAAUAAGUAAAUGAAAAUAAGGAAGGAAAAGGAAAAGAAGGAGGAAAAGAAAGGAAAGAAGAAGAAGAAGCGGAAAAGAAAAAGAAAGGAAAGAAGAAGAAGAGGAAAAGAAAAUAAAGGAAAAGAAAAAUGAAAGAAUAAGAAGAGAAAAGAAAAACAAAGGAGAAGAAAAAGAAAAAAAUAGAAAAUAGAUGAAGAAAAAAGAAGAAGAACAAAAAAGGAGAAAAAAAGAACAUCACAACAACGUAGUUUCUAUGGCGUGAACUACAUUUUACUUGAUCCCGAAAGGGUACGUAAGCACCUCUUUGAGGUUCAGUCAUAUCAAAGUAAAAAUCCAAUAGUUACCAAGCAAGAAACUGGUACAGAAGUUGUGGCUAUUGCAUCGAAUGUUGAUAUUAUAGUUAAACCUAGGACCCCCCUUACUUUUACUUUUUUGUAUAAAUAUUCUCUAAAAUUUCCGUUUUACGUGUGCUAUUCUUCUUUCAAAAUUGUCCACUAUCUUGUAUUCUUUAUAUGCACAUUUUGCCUGUCUAUUUCUAUGCUUCUUAACGUCACAUCUAAGCAAGGCCGGGAACUACACUAGUGGAUCUUGAGGGGUGCCUAACACCCUCCCCUUGAGAUAAUUUCAAGCCCUUACUUGAAAUCUAGUUUUCAUUCAAAAAACAUUUUCUUCUUAUAGUGUCCUAAUGCACUAUAAUCAUUAGGUGGUGACUCUUCAAACUCUGCAACCCAAUUACCAAAAGGGAAUAAGAGUUGUUUUGUCUAUAAUAUCGUAAACUCAAUUUUGCCCUUUUAGGANNNNNNNNNNNNNNNNNNNNNNNNNNNNNNNNNNNNNNNNNNNNNNNNNNNNNNNNNNNNNNNNNNNNNNNNNNNNNNNNNNNNNNNNNNNNNNNNNNNNNNNNNNNNNNNNNNNNNNNNNNNNNNNNNNNNNNNNNNNNNNNNNNNNNNNNNNNNNNNNNNNNNNNNNNNNNNNNNNNNNNNNNNNNNNNNNNNNNNNNNNNNNNNNNNNNNNNNNNNNNNNNNNNNNNNNNNNNNNNNNNNNNNNNNNNNNNNNNNNNNNNNNNNNNNNNNNNNNNNNNNNNNNNNNNNNNNNNNNNNNNNNNNNNNNNNGGGGGGGGGGGGGGGGGGGCGAAAGGGGGCAUCAACACUGGUUUUUCGAUAUGCUAUUUUUGUGUGUUUCGCUUCCUAUUUUCUAAGUAAAGUCCGCAUUAGUGCGGGGGUUAGGUAAAUCCUUCCAGAUUUCAGAUUCCUAUUUAUGUUGUGAUCAGAUUGGUGGCGUAUUGGCACAUUGUGGCGUUUCAUGAGACUUUUGGAUUGCAUUUGGAGUGGCUUAUUGCCUGAGCAGUUCGUACUGGGUGAUACGAGAUUGUGGGAUUUAGGAUCAGUGCAAUCUGAUUAUAUGGAGUAUAUUAAGGAGCAAAGAUCAUUAUUUAGUUCAGAAUGUGGUAAUGUUUCUUGUCAGAAGUAUAAACUCAAUGAUUUGUUGAUUUACAAGUUGAUUAUGAAUUUCAGCACAUCUCUUCCGUCGUGGCGGUAUUGUAAGAGUAAGAGUAAGACCUGUGUAUGUCAGGAGAUGCAAAGGGAGCAUCAGAUUCGUGGAAUUUCGACUAUUAUGCUUAGAGGAUGGUAUUGUGGUCCUAUGGAUAAAGCGACGCAAGGUGUGAAUUCAGCAAAGUUAUGCAGCCGUGUUUGGAUAUAGCGUAUAGUGAUUAAUAUGGUGAUCGUAUGUUGGAAACUGGCCUGGCAUAGAAUUUUGGAUGUUGGAAUCGGGCUCUAAGGCUUAUUUGCUUGUAUAAAAGGAAAUAUCUUCAGAAUAUACCAAGCUAAUAUGCUCAGCUAAGUUGUGGCAGCACGGGAAGGUGCAUAAGGUGCUAAAUAAUGAUUUCAGACUACUUCAGUGUAGUUCCCAGCACGUUCGAGGAUGAAUGUAUGCUUAAGUAGGAGAGAAUGUAACGACCCGGCCGAUCGUUUUGAGCUCCAGCGCGUCAUUCAGCAGUCUGAGUUCAUGAGCAGCUUCAUUUCAGGUAUAUUGACUUGUGCGCGUGGUCAAAAUUGAAUUUCAGUAAGUUCAGAGUGGAUUUGGAAGGAUAAUUCUCAUUUUUGAAAGCUUAAAGUUGAAAAAAUGAACUAGCAUUGGAUUUUUGAGUAAACGACCUCGGAAUCGGGACCUGAAGGUUCCAGCAAGUUUGUAUGAUUAUUUCGGACAUGGGUGUAUGCCCGAUGAGGGUUUUGGAUAACUCGGGAGCGUUUUGGUGCCUAUUGUGGAAGUUAGCAUUUUGGAAGAAAUUUCUUAAGUUUGGCUUGAAGUGCACUUCAUAAUUAUCGAUGUCCGUUUGGGGUUUCGAGACUGGAAGUAGCUUCGUAUGGUGAUUCUCGAGUUGGGAGCACGAUCGGAAGUGAAUUCAAAUGUCCGUAAGUCAUUUUGAAGCCACCUGGCUAAAGAAAGAAAUUUGAAGGUUUUUGAGAAGUUUGACCAGAAGUGGACUUUUUGAUAUCGGGGUCGGAAUCCAAUUCCAGAAAUUAGAGUAGGUCCUAAUGUCAAAUAUGACUUGUGUGCAAAAUUUGAGGUCAAUCGGACGUGAUUUGAUAGGGUUAAACAUCGGAAGUGGAAGUCGGAAAGUUCAAAGUUCAUAAAGCUUGAAUCAGGGUGUAAUUCAUGGUUUUAGCAUUGUUUGAUGUGAUUUGAGGCCUCGAGCAAGUCUGUAAUAUAUUUUGAGACUAGUUAGUAUGAUUGGUUGGGGUCCCGGGGGCCUCGGAUGGAUUCCGGGAGGUUAACGGAUCAAAAAUUAGAUUUUUAGAAGAGCUGAAUUGCUGGUAUCUGGUAUUUCCGCUUCUUCAGAAAUGGGACCGUAGAAGCGGUUGAGCAGGAGGGCAGCCAGGACCGCAGAAACAACCCUUGAUCCGCUGUUGCGGAACCGCAGAAGCGGUAGGGCUGAAUGCAGAAGCGGAAAGCCUGGGGUUGUUUGCAGCCGGAGAAGUGGCUAGCGAUCCUCAGAAGCGGACCGUGGAAACGGGAAAAGCACUGCAGAAGCAAAAAUACCUGAAGGCAGAAGGUUGUUUUAAGUCGUGGGUUGAGUCCAUUUCUCUCAUUUUUAUGGCAUUGGGGCAAUUUUUGGAGCUUAUUGAGAGGGGCUUCCACCUAGCAACUUGAAGGUAAGUUAAUCCUACCUAUGAUAAGUUAAAUACAUAGAUUAUGGAUAGAUUUAACAUGUGAAAUUAUGGAAAUCAUGGGUUUUGGAUGAAAAACCUAGGAUUUGGUAAAAAAGAUUUAACCACGAAAAUUGUUAGGGAUGGAGUAGAAAUCAUAUAUUCUUGAUCCUUAAGUUAUGGGUAAGCUUUAUCUUCGAGAAAUUCAGAUUCCUGUCACGUGGGCCCCAGGCAUUUUGGUUAUUUCACAAAGCGGAGUUGGGAAAUUGUAUAAUUGAAUUGUUAGCAAGUAUUUCAGUAUAUUCUCAGUAGUUUGCCAUUAUUUAGCUAGUUUUGGAGCUCUGUGCGUUGGUUCGAGAUUUCGGAAGGAUGUAAAGGGCCAGUUAUGGAUCUUCGGGCGAUGUUAGUCUCCUUUCUAAUCUUUUGAGGGGUAAUUUACCCCGUAGAUGAGCUAAAUUGAUUAUGAGCUCCUAUUUGUGGGGGCUACAUACGCACGGGGUGACGAGUGUCCGUGCGUAGCUGCUAUUAUGCUAUUGUCCAGGUAGUCUAGGACCCAAAAGCAUGUUAUACUUAGAUUAUUGUGAACCCAUUUAUGGCUUGAAUUUCCUAAUUCACGUUAAAAUUUGUAAAUGAUUUUCAAAGGGGCUAAGCUUCAUUUUCUUAAAAAUUGUUAAAGGAGAAUUGGUUUUACUUGAAUAAAUAUUUCACGAUAAGCUCUUAUUUGUCUGAUUGAGCAUGUGUUCUUAUGUGUACCUGUGUCGCAUGCAUAAUUCGCGAGCAGGGUAUGUGUUUAUUUCUGGAAUGGGACGAACGUCUCGGCAGAUUAAAUAGAUGCACCUAUGGUACGGGCCGCUCUACCCUCGACAGUGCACAAAUUACAUUUAUGUUGGAGCUGACCGUCUACCUCGGUAUGGUUUGCACAUAUUUGUACUGUUGAUUGAACUUAUUAAAGUUGUCACUACAUCACCGUUGCUCGAGAUUUAUUUAUUAUUAAUAAAGAGAACUUAUGGAAAAUUCCUUUGAAAGAAUUAUGUGUUCACUUAUUUCCUCUAUUUGGAUUAGAAUCAUGUUUAUAAAAUAAAUCCUCUAUUUAAUAUAUUUAUUAAUGAUGAAUAAUUUUUCUUUUUCUUUUUCUUUUCUCGUUCUUAUUCUUUCAUUUUUCUUUUCCUUUAUUUUUCUUUUCCUCUUCUUCUUCUUUCCUUUCUUUUUCUUUUCCCCUUCUUAUUCUUCUUUCCUUUCUUUUCCUCCUUCUUUUCUUUUUCCUUCCUUCUUUUCAUUUACUUAUUUUCGGCACUUGCAGUUCUUAAUUAUGCCAUUGAUUCCGAAAGAGGGGUAUGAAAAAAAUAAAAUCGGCUAAGAAAAGGGGUAAAAGGGGAUAAAGUGUUUCGGAUAGCAGAACAAAACGCCUUCGUCAUUUCAAUCUUCAAAAUAUGCCAAAUACAAAAAAAGUACAAUCAAAAUAAAGAAAUCAUACAUAGUUCCUCUUGACUACAUCAGAGUUGAUGGCCAUUUCCACAUAUUUUCCUUCCACAUCUGUUAGAUAUAAUUCACAACUAGAAAAUACUCUAGUUUCAACAAAUGGCCCUUGCCAGUUUGGGGAAAAUUUUCCUUUUGCUUCAGCCUGAUGAGGCAAGAUACGUCUCAGCACUACUCUCCGACUUCAAAACUUCCUCAGAUGCACUUUCUUGUUGCACGCUCUUGCAAUUUUGUUGGUGCAAUUGGCCAUGACUCGCUGAUACUAACGUCUUUUCAUUAAUCAAACUCAAAUGUUUAAGGCGGGUGAAACCAUGAUCAUGUUCGAACUCAUUAUCACACUCAAUUUCUUGUAUUAUUACUUCAGAGUAAGACCUUCUUUCAAGACUGGGCUGAGGAUUCCUCAUGCAUACCAUGUUAUUGAUACCAGCAUAAAAUGAACUGCACAUAUGAAAAAAGCAAACUGAAAUAGAAUUAAGAAUGAUGAAAGAAAGACAAUUGUAUUUCAUUGAAGGAAAAAAUAACAAGGUUUUAACUCAUCAAAACGGACGAAACAUAGUAUAUGGACAAUACACCCUGGAAUAAUCCAGAUAGAUUAAGGAAAAACAAGACCCACUACUAAGACUUCCAGUCAUUGACUUUUACCCAUGGUCAGACGAAAUACACUUUUGCCCUGCUUGACCCUUUCUCUGCUUCAACCAUGUUUACUUCGGCGAACAACAUUUCAUACUUACAUUCCCUUAUAUUUCCCCCCACUUGUUCAUAACUCCAAGGAAUAGUUUUGUUGUUGGUCAAUGGCAACUGAGUUGCUCGCUUUACGAUAACAAGAUCUGUGCAAGCUCCCUUCACAACCAUCAUAGGUUUGUUUGCUACCCCUUGCACCACCACUUUGACUGGCUCGGGUUUCACGGUAACACUGCUUGAUGACCCUUUCUCGAUUACCACAGCUGGCUUACUUUCCACCCCUUUCAAUUGUAUAAUUUGAAUUGUUAGCAAGUAUUUCAGUAUAUUCUCAGUAGUUUGCCGUUAUUUAGCUAGUUUUGGAGCUCUGUGCGUUGGUUCGAGAUUUCGGAAGGAUGUAAAGGGCCAGUUAUGGAUCUUCGGGCGAUGUUAGUCUCCUUUCUAAUCUUUUGAGGGGUAAUUUACCCCGUAGAUGAGCUAAAUUGAUUAUGAGCUCCUAUUUGUGGGGGCUACAUACGCACGGGGUGACGAGUGUCCGUGGAAUUUACCCCGUAGGUGAGCUAAAUUGAUUAUGAGUUCCUAUUUGUGGGGGCUACAUACGCACGGGGUGACGAGUGUCGGUGCGUAGUUGCUAUUAUGCUAUUGUCCAGGUAGUCUAGGACCCAAAAGCAUGUUAUACUUGGAUUGUUGUGAACCCAUUUAUGGCUUGAAUUUCCUAAUUCACAUUAAAAUUUGUAAAUGAUUUUCAAAGGGGUUAAGCUUCAUUUUCUUAAAAAUUGUUAAAGGAGAAUUGGUUUUACUUGUAUAAAUAUUUCACGAUAAGCUCUUAUUUGUCUGAUUGAGCAUGUGUUCUUAUGUGUACUUGUGUCGCAUGCAUGAUUCGCGAGCAGGGUAUGUGUUUAUUUCUGGAAUGGGACGAACGCCUCGGAAGAUUAAAUAGACGCAUCUAUGGUACGGGCCGCUCUACCCUCGACAGCGCACAUUACAUUUAUGUUGGAGCUGACCGUCGACCUCGGUAUGGUUUGCACAUAUUUGUACUGUUGAUUGAAUUUAUUAAAGUUGUCACUACCUCACCGUUGCUCGAGAUUUAUUUGUUAAUAAUAAAGAGAACUUAUGGAAAAUUCCUAUGAAAGAAUUAUGUGUUCACUUAUUUUCUCUAUUUGGAUUAGAAUCAUGUUUAUAAAAUAAAUCCUCUAUUUAAUAUAUUUAUUAAUGAUGAAUAAUUAUUGGACCAUUAGUGAGUGUCAAAGUUGACCAUCUCAUCUCUACUCUUUCGGGAUUAGGCGGGCCACUCAUUAGGUACAUGUUAUUUUUGUACUCAUACCACACUUGCUUUGCAUUGUAUUGCACAGGUAUAUGUGACCCAUCGGUCUGCUAGGCAUAGCAGCGUGGAUGAUCCUGAGACUAGGUGAGUUCCAUCAUUCGAGACGGCCGCAACUAGAGUAGUCCCUUCCUUGUACUGUAUUUACUUUCCGUCCAUUGCAUUCUUGACAGAUGUUGUAUGUUAUUUCUCUUGUCAGUAGAUGCUCAUACACUUGUGACUCCGGGUUGUGGGAUGUUUUGAAGUGCUGUAUUAAUUGUUUAACUUUUAAAUUUAUAUUAAAGUAUAUCCUUUAAGAUCUCUAAAUAAAGUAAGAAAAAGAUAUCUUGUAUCUCAAAAGUGUUAAAACGAGAUUUAAUUUAGCAUUUGAGUUGGCUGGCCUGACAGCGGAGUCCGGCGCCACCACGACUCUUAGUGGAUUUUGGGUCGUGACAAAUUAUCUAACUCCUUAUUUGGAUUAUCAAUUCUCUUCCUACAAAUAUCAUUUAUAAUUUUUUCUGUUAUAGCCUAUUAGUUCACGAAUUUUUGAAACGGUAAUCAAAUCUAAUUUGUGAAAAUUACCUAUAAAUAGGUAAUAAAUUUAUAAUUUCAUCACAUACUCUAUCUAUAUAUUAUGAAAAGAUGAAAAAAGUAUCCACAUUAAGUCAAGUGGUAUUCUGACAAUAGGGCGUUACGCAAUUUACGACAAAGUUUAUUAGGUUAGGUAAUUAUUAGUUUCUAGUAUAAAUUUUAAAAAAUUAAAUUAUAUAUUAUGUGUUUCUAAUAAUUAGUUACUCUUUAGAAUUAUUUUUAUUUUACACUCAAUGUCAUAUUUCAAGAUUGUCACUCAGAAUCAUCUAGUUACAACUACGGUGACGAUACAUAAUUUCACCCGAUGAUAUUGUUCUACCAAUAAGGAAUUCAACUAUUAUACUAAUAAAGACAUUACUACAAAGAAUGAGGAAGGAGAUGAAUCUUUUGAUAUUCCUUUAGAAAUGCAAGGCAAGUCUUCUACUAAUAUGGAUGCAUUGUGUGAUAGAAGCAGAUAUAAAAUUGUUGAAAAAUACUAUCAUGUGGAAGUGGCUUUACUUAUUACUUCAUGAUGGAUUAUCAGCAUAUAGAAAUUUAUGGAAUAUACUUCUAAUUCAUGUGACAUGAUGUAUUUUGAUUACUCAAAUCAUUUUGUAAUAAUAAAUAAUUAUACUAUAUUAUGUACUUUGGUAUAAAUAAUAUAUGUAAAAUUGAGUAAAAUCUUUAUUAUGUUUGUUUACUUUAUAUUUUUAUAUUUUAAUUCAACAAGAUAAAAAAUAAUAAAAGUCUUACAAUAAAUAUUUAAAUUUAUUUUCUCUUUAAAAUAAUUAUAAGAUCUUGGUACUAUCCCUUUUGGUAAUUUGACACUCCAAAGCACUUUUUAGAAAUAUUGGCCAAACACAAUUUGUUUAUCAGAUGUUGCAUAAGUAAUUCUUAAAUGAAUUAGAAAAGAGGUCAAUAUACCUAAGUAACAUGAAGGAGGAUUAUUUGAAAUAAUUCCGGCUUGCCAAAAUGGAUCUUUGUGGGAUAUCUGGGAGUUCACAGUAGACUACAAACGAGGGAUAGACUAAAAGCUUGGGGAUAUAUUGUAGAUGAAACCUGUACAUUAUGCAAAGUAGCAGUAGAGAACAUAGAGCACAUACUCUUCACAUGCCCAUUCUCAAUGAAAAUUUGGGAUGCAAUGCUCAGAUGGAUGAAGAUUAACAGACCAGUGAUGGAUUGGGGAGAUGAACUAGCAUGGGCAGAGCAACACUAUGGUGGAAAAAGUGCAGAAGUAGAGAUACAGAAUGGCACUGGUAGGAUAUAUAUCAUAUUUGGCAAGAGAGAAAUUAUAGAAUUUUUAAAGGAGAUGAACGUACAGUUGAAGUAUUCACAAGAAGCUUAGUUCAAGACAUCCAUGGUAGAGAUUUAGUGAAGAAAAGAUUGGGAAAAUGUCUGCUGGAAUUGAAUUCAUAUCCUAUUGCAUAGAUAAUGUAUAUAAAGUAAAGUAGAAGCAACAGUUUAGCCUGGGGCCAAUGUACAGAACAAGCUGCUAAACAAAUAUUUGUAAUGUUUUACUUGGUAAUAAAAGAUUUAAUACCAAAAAAAUUGGUCAAACACAAACUAUUUUUUUUAAAGUACUUCUGAAAAAGUACUUUUAAAAUAAGUAGAUUUUCGUAGUUUGGCCAAACGGGCUCUAAGUGUAUUUUUUCUCAAAAGUACGAAGCUACUUGUUUUUGGUUCUUCAAAAAUACUUUUGCUUCUACUCAAAAGUAUUUUUUUCUUCUAAAAGCUUGAUCAAAUACUUCUACUUUGAAAAAAAAGUAUUUUUUUUUUGAAAAAAAAAGGUGCUUCUCAAAUAGAAGAAGCUUCGCCAAACAUGCUAUAAGUUUGAUGUUCUGAGAAGCCCGUUUGGCCAUAAACAUUUUUUUUUUUAC